AUGCCAACUGCCUGCGGCAGCUCUCGCUCUCUGACGUCUAUGAAUCAGAGUCCUAUAAGACAGCCACCACAGCUCCCUACCACCGGUUUUGUCCACUGCUCCGACAAUCAAAACCAACCCUCGCUCGUUCCCGUCGGUGCCGCAUCUGGACCACCGCGACGAAGUACCCUUGUCACUUCCAAUCGCGGCUUCAAAUAA